CAAUGAGGCAUUGCAACAUUGUCUCCCCUCCCCGCGCGCGCCCAUUGGCUGCCGGCCGUUCUAGAGCCGGCCCGCGCGCCGCGCCAUUGGCCGGCGGCCCCCGCCGGGGACACACCGCGUUCCAUUGAUGUCCGGCGGCCCCGCCCGCGCCCGCCCCAGGUGUGAAUGCCCGCGGCUCGGGGGGGUCCUGUCUUUCCUUUCCUUUCCUUUCCUUUUUUUAAAGGUGAUCUCUUUGAUUGCAUCAGCUCUGCAGUGGGGAUCGAGUCGUGGAAGCCGCUGUGUGGUUGGGUGAUCGAGUUACCGGAUCGAGUCUGUCGCUGCGAUCAGUUUACGGGAUCAGAUGCGCCGUUGGGAUCAGGUUUUCAGAUCAAGUGUGUUUUUGAAUCGAGUGUGGACUUGGGAUCAAGUUAUUAGGUCAGGUGCGCCGUUGAGAUCAAGUGUUUUAAGCAAGUUUGUGGAUCAAGUUUUCAGAUCAGGUGUGUAGAUGGGUCAAGUUUUUGAGUGUGUAUUUGGGAUCAAGUUAUUAGAUCAGGUGUGUAGUUCAGAACAAGUUUGGGGAUCAGCUGUGUAGCUGGGAUCCAGUUUGUACUCAGGAUCAAGUUUUUUAUGAGGUAUGUAGCUGAGAUCAAGUUAUCAGAUCAAGUGUGUAGUUGGGAUCAAGUUUUUUAAUCAAGUGCAUUGGGAUCAAGUUAUUAGAUCAGGUGUGUAGUUCAGAUCAAGUUUGGGAUCAGCUGUGUAGCUGGGAUCAAGUUUUUUGAUCAAGUGUGUACUUGGGAUCAACUUUUUUAUGAGCCAUGUAGCUGGGAUCAAGUUUUGGGAUUCGCUGGGAUCAAGUGUGUACUUGGGAUCAAGUAAUAAAAGAUAUCAAAUUCACCCAAGGAACCUUGUCUACUUGGGAUCAAGUUUUUUAUGCCGUGUGUAGCUGAGAUCCAGUUAUCGGAUCAAGUGUGCACUUGGGAUCAAUUUUUUGAAUCAAGUGUGUUGGGCUCAAGUUAUUAGAUCAGGUGUAUAGUUCAGAUCAAGUUUUUGGAUCACGUGUGUCAUUGGGAUCAAGUUAUCAGAUCAAAUGUACAGAUGGGGUCAAGUUAUUAGAUCAGGUGUGUAGUUGGGAUCAAGUUAUCAGAUCAAGUGUAUACUUGGGAUCAAGGUUUUGGAUCAAGUGGUUGGUUGGGAUCGAGUUACACCAGCUUUGGAAUGCAAGGCAUUCUUCUUCAGGUCUCUGAUUAUUAAAAGGGGGAUUAAACAGCAGAAGGCACGGCCUCGUGGGUCCAGCUCCAGCACGCCACAUGACCGGGUGUUUCAACAGGAUGCACAGACGUAGCACCCUUCUGGCAAAGAUCACCUGGGCUAGGGACAAAAAUGACACAAAACCAGGUGAAAGGUGUGUGGAAGGCCUUUUAAACAGGCCUUGAUCUCCCAGGAAUCAGCUUCUUUUCUUCUGCUAGUUGUGUUUGCUACCUUUGGGAGUUGCUCUCACCUCCUCCCCACUGCUGUUUUUCACUGUAUACCAAUGACCAACCCAUACAGAGCAAUAUAAGGAGCUUCAUAUAUGCUGAUGAUCUACGCAUCACGUUGCAAGAGAAGGACUUUGCCGCUGUCAGGAAUGGACUGACAUGUGCACUGAGCAACCUCUCAGAUCUUUACAGUAAGAACCAGCUUUGCACCAACCCAGCCAAGAUGCAGGUCACAGCCUUUCACCUAUGCUAUAGAGAGGCCAAGUGGAAAUUAAACAUCACCUGGGAUGGAAAUCUUAUUGACUAAUCACCCCAACCCUGUGUACUUGGGGGUGCUCUGAUGAGUCUUGCAUUAGAAAUCUUGUCUAACUUUAUCCCAACUAUGUAAUUGGUCCAAUAAAGGAUAUCACUCUCAGAAA